rnacentral:snRNA from 3 species
GUGCUUGCUUUGGCAGCACAUACACUAAAAUUGGACCCAUACAGAGAAGAUUAGCAUGGCCCCUGCUCAUGGA